GUCCGCUUUCUGCCCCUUUACUGCAGUUACGAAGGAAGAAGCAGAGACAAGGAGAUGAUUCCUGUUAAGGUUCCCCAUCCCUUCUUGAAGAGGAACAAAACUUCUAAGUCACACAUACAGGCUGCACAGCCACAACACUCUGCAGCCUUUAGGCAGAACUGCUGAAACCCAGGAGACAGAGGCUGCAGUGAGCUGAGAUCGCACCACUGCACUCCAGCCUGGGCGACAGAGAGAGACUCCAUCUCAUAAAUAAAUAAAUAAAUAAAUAAAUAAGGGAAUUCUAACAUUA